rnacentral:lncRNA from 1 species
UCUGCUGCUCAAUGAUUUUCUCCUUACCAGGCUGUCCAUCUAGAUCAGUGAAUUGUCCUAUACGUGCACUUGAUGCACUAUGAGCUGUUGAUGUAUGAAUUGUCCCAGCACUCUCCGCAUAAGAUGAAGGUACAUCCCUAGGCAGUUUAGGAGACAGAUUGUCCAAAGCAUUACCUCAUCAAUAGGCUUCACUGGUGCUGCUACCUGUGCGACAACUGAUGUAUGACUGAUCAUAGGAGUCUGUGAACUUAGGUGUUGUUUUGCAUUUCCCUUAUCCAUCUUAAGAGCUUGGACAGUAGGAUCACCAUUCUGUUUGUCUAUAUUUACCACAAAG